rnacentral:lncRNA from 1 species
GUGCAUUUCGUGGUAGCUUGUGCAGCAGCAAGUCUAGAGACAGCUCCAAGAACAUCCAUGGAAAGGGAAUUUUGACUCCUGAAGGCUGAUAGCUGCAGAGGGAAAGAAGAGCUGUGUUCACCCAGGAAUGUGACAGAGAGGAGCCUGUGCCCCACCAUCCCCAGGUCCUCAGGAGGUACAACGGGAGCACAGAGUGCCUUUGUCCCCUCUGAAAUGUUGUGUUUCCUCCUGAGAUAAAGAUUAAAGUCCUUCCCAAAGGACUCCCAAACCCAGUGUCUCUGGAAGUGCCAAUAUCCCCAGCCCUCAACCCUGGGCCAAACACUCUGCAAUUCCAGCUCAGGGCUGGUGGGAUGAUCUCCAGCUGGUUCCCACUGCAGGCUCUGUGAAUGUCCCACAGGCCCCACACUCCUGGGCUUGCUGGAUGUGAGCUCUGCUGCACACGAGCGCGACAGAGAGCAAACUGGGAGGAAUUUCAGGUUAAUCCAGACUGGGACUUGAUUUCCAUAUUCACUCAGCAAGAACUGAUCCAGUCCUUGGAGUUCUAACAGAAAUACUGAAUGGAUUGGAACACCAGGCAUUCUUGCAGUCAAAUACAGAGAAUUCCCUGGUGCUGCUGCAGUCCCCCAGCGAAGCAAAGCAGGCAGGGACAGAGGUUGGAAUUCCUGACUCCACAUGCAGAGAGGAUCCUGUUUGGAAGUCUGACAAGAAAUAAAACCCAGUGGUAACCAGCUGCAGCAGCAGCUUUUCUGUCCACACUGUAUUGGCUGUCAAGGAGCAGAGAAGUUGCUCCUCUCCUGAGAAACUCAAAUCAACAUGAGAAGAUCCAAAUAUGCAAAUGCCUAUUUACAUGUUUUUUGAAAUUCCCUUUGUUUUGUUUUGGUUAUCCCUUCCUUAUCUCUUAUCUAAGUUUCUGUUUGAUUAAAGUCCUGUGUUGCAGUGUAGUCAUGACAACAGCUUUAUAUCAAGUAGUCUGUUUUUAUGGGAUUGUGGGAUUUAAAAGAAAACUGAACCAAACAAGAGGAGCCCUCGUGUGAUCCUGCCCCAGGACCUCAGAGUGACAGAACUGAGUGAGGAGCAAGAACAAAGUUCUUGGUGUGUGUUUGUGACUCCACUGCUCAUGCCUGGGACUGUUUGUGGGGGUGUUUCUGGGUGUGUUUUGUUCAAAUAUAACAGAUGUGUAGAAGGGAUCAUGUUCUGAUCACUGUGAUGCUGGAAUUGCCUUCCUGAACUCACAUCAGCCACAAAAUGGCUGCAGGGCAAGCCCAGCACCAGGAGCUG